GGCCUUCUUCCCAAAAAGCCACGCGCUAGCGCGCAUAUACAUCACGUAGACAGUAACCGGCCGAGUGUGUAGACAAUCAACCGCAGGUUGAAUUGUGUGGACAAAACAAAGGGAGAGCCGGGGACGGUUCUUUUGGACAUGACGACCCUGUUUCUUUUCAAAUCGCGAAAAUAUUGAAGAAAAAUGGCGAACGAAGCGGGACGCAGCUGCGUGAUGACAACGACGACACGCAUGUACCUGUUACUACCAUUGGAUUUCACGACGCCGUAAGGGAUGAGCUCGUUAUCUACAUGACCUAGGCGACGCUCAAGAAAAUGUUGAACUCUAUUUGAUAUUAUGACGCGAUUGUAGAGAAGGCCGUUCGCAAAUUAAAGUGUCUGGUUCUC